rnacentral:rRNA from 1 species
AACGGCCGCGGUAUCCUAACCGUGCAAAGGUAGCAUAAUCACUUGCCUAUUAAUUGUAGGCUAGAAUGAAUGGGUUAACGAAAUAAAGACUGUCUCAAUUAAUCACCUAAAAAUUACUAUCUAUCUGAAGAAGAGUAGAUAAUCUCGAAGGACAAGAAGACCCUAUAGAGCUUAAUUUUAAUUAUAGAACUAUACUAUAAAAAUAUUCGGUUGGGGCGACCCAGGGCUAAUUAAUCACCCAAUACAUAAAAGAUAAAUUAAUCAAGUAAUUGACCCCUAAAAGAUCAUAAGAACAAGCUACCUUAGGGAUAACAGGCUAAUCCCACUCAAGAGUCCUUAUCAACAGUGGGGUUUGGCACCUCGAUGUUGGCUUAGG